rnacentral:lncRNA from 1 species
AGGGCUUUCAGGCAUAAUUAGAAAAGCAUGUGAAAAGAGUAGAUCAGAGAAACUCAUUUGUGCUACACCACACUCCUUUUGUACUAGAAGCUUACAAGACUCAGGGAAAUACUCCAAUCACUUUGCUUAAUACUUCCUAGAAGGGAAUUCUUACCAACAUCAGACUCUCCUGGUUCUUGAACCCAAACAGCCUGACAAGGCUACAUCCUCACCUGAGACAGAAAGCUGAGUCAGACUCCAGGAGCUGGUAGCUGAGCAGAGUCUCUGCCUCAAACUUUCUAGUGUGCUAGAAAGCUGAAACUCACAGUGGCUUAUGACUAGGGUUGUCAG